rnacentral:rRNA from 1 species
UGGGGAAUUUUGGACAAUGGGGGAAACCCUGAUCCAGCCAUCCCGCGUGUGCGAUGAAGGCCUUCGGGUUGUAAAGCACUUUUGGCAGGAAAGAAACGUCAUGGGUUAAUACCCCGUGAAACUGACGGUACCUGCAGAAUAAGCACCGGCUAACUACGUGCCAGCAGCCGCGGUAAUACGUAGGGUGCAAGCGUUAAUCGGAAUUACUGGGCGUAAAGCGUGCGCAGGCGGUUCGGAAAGAAAGAUGUGAAAUCCCAGAGCUCAACUUUGGAACUGCAUUUUUAACUACCGGGCUAGGGUGUGUCAGAGGGAGGUGGAAUUCCGCGUGUAGAAGUGAAAUGCGUAGAUAUGCGGAGGAACACCGAUGGCGAAGGCAGCCUCCUGGGAUAACACUGACGCUCAUGCACGAAAGCGUGGGGAGCAAACAGG